GCCUGGGUGGCUCAGUUGGUGAAGCAUCGGACUUUUGAUCUCAGCUCAGAUGUUGAUCUCAGGGUCAUGAGUUCAAGUCUCAUGUUGGGCU
rnacentral:tRNA from 1 species